GGCCCCGUAGCUCAGCCGGAUAGAGCACCGGACUUCUAAUCCGACGGUCGGAGGUUCGAAUCCUCCCGGGGUCGCCA
rnacentral:tRNA from 1 species